ensembl:snoRNA LOC120102718 small nucleolar RNA SNORA17
CCCACUUCUAGAAGCAUUGUAGGUGUGGUUGCUGUGUUACAUGAGAAUCAGUAGGUGGCAGACAGGAGAUAGGCUCAGUGUUCUCAUCCAUGGACAUCAGAAUGAUUAGUAGCCAAG